rnacentral:lncRNA from 1 species
AUUGAAGUCUCAGUCCCAGAAUGCCAUCUGGUUUUUGUGAAAACAAAAUAUGGGAAAACCGGAAUAAGCUAAAGGGUUCUUGAUGAGCCAAUAAAAAGGUUAGAGAAAAACGAAGCUGGUACAACUCCAACCCUUAAGCCCUGGGAUCCUCCAAAACCCAAAUACCAAACCCAUCAAAGGCUUCUUCUUCUUUCUUGCUAUAGGUAAAGAAGGCUGAGAUCGCGAACGCCAAUCUCGCUAGUAAUGGCGUCCUUAAGGGUUGUUUCUCGGUUAUCCUCUCGGUUACACCCUCUGGCUCUCAAGCUCAACAAGAAAGCACCUCUCUCGCCUCUCCUCUCUUCCCUCAAGUCAAACCCUCCGGCUCCAACGCGCAUUUCUCGCGCUUCCCGGUAAGAACUUCAGGAAACUAUAAGAUACCCGCUAUUAUUUACUUGAAUCUUGUUUGGUUACCGAGCAAAUAUAGGGAAGUUUUUAUUUGGUAUAUAUCCAGUGAGCCUAUGGACUUAGCGUCGAAGUAGUCUGUCUCCUACUAUUUAUAUUCAAUUUCAUGUCCUUGUUUACUAGUGGCUUUGUGAUAUUAAUUACUAAGUUCAUUGUCACUCAUAAAAACUUCAAGAACUUAAAUUUUGAUUUGGCAACUGAAACAAACCACUACUUUACUGCAAUUGAAAUGAUUGUCUAUUUGAUUGUUUGCUAAUUUUUCUAGGUUACCCUUGGAGCUGAGUAGUUUAGGNNNNN